UGGGAUACCUUAAUUCAACAUCGAGGUGGUAAACUUAAUCCUAGAUAUGGGCUCUUAAAUUAAAUUACCCUGUUAUCCCUAAAGUAGCUUUUAUUUAUUAAUCAUUGAUUUGUUUGUUUUCAAUGGGUCAUUUUAACCUACUUAGUAACUGUAAAAUUUAUGGAUUAUACAGUAAAUUUUUAAUAAUUUUAAUAUAGUUUAUCUUUGUUGUUUUUAAAAGAUCGUCUCCCCAACGAAACUACCAAUUCCUUAAAAUUAUUUUUUAUUGUUUAUUAAGGAAGUAUAGUUAAGCUUUAUAGGGUCUUUUCGUCUUACAAUUUUAAAUAGCAUCUUCACUAUUAUUUUAAUUUUAUUUUAGUUAUAUAAGACAGUGGAGUUCUCGUUUGGCCAUUCAUUCCAUCCACUAAUUAAGUGGCAAAUUAUUAUGCUACAUUUUCACAGUUAUGGUUACUGCAGCCUUUUAAUUUAUUUUUUAUUUUUUCAAAUAUGUAUUUAYUCAUUGGGC
rnacentral:rRNA from 1 species